rnacentral:rRNA from 1 species
UAUGGAGCAAGCGUUAUCCGGAUUUACUGGGUGUAAAGGGAGCGUAGACGGUAAUGCAAGUCUGGAGUGAAAGCCCGCAGCUCAACUGCGGGACUGCUUUGGAAACUGUAUGACUGGAGUGCAGGAGAGGUAAGCGGAAUUCCUAGUGUAGCGGUGAAAUGCGUAGAUAUUAGGAGGAACACCGGUGGCGAAGGCGGCUUACUGGACUGUAACUGACGUUGAGGCUCGAAAGCGUGGGGAGCAAA